GAUGAACGCUGGCGGCGUGCCUAAUACAUGCAAGUCGAGCGAACAGACGAGGAGCUUGCUCCUUCGACGUUAGCGGCGGACGGGUGAGUAACACGUAGGUAACCUACCUAUAAGACUGGGAUAACUUCGGGAAACCGGAGCUAAUACCGGAUAAUAUUUCGAACCGCAUGGUUCGAUAGUGAAAGAUGGCUUUGCUAUCACUUAUAGAUGGACCUGCGCCGUAUUAGCUAGUUGGUAAGGUAACGGCUUACCAAGGCAACGAUACGUAGCCGACCUGAGAGGGUGAUCGGCCACACUGGAACUGAGACACGGUCAAGACGCCUACGGGAGGCAGCAGUAGGGAAUCUUCCGCAAUGGGCGAAAGCCUGACGGAGCAACGCCGCGUGAGUGAUGAAGGUCUUCGGAUCGUAAAACUCUGUUAUUAGGGAAGAACGAACGUGUAAGUAACUGUGCACGUCUUGACGGUACCUAAUCAGAAAGCCACGGCUAACUACGUG
rnacentral:rRNA from 1 species